ensembl:lncRNA
UUUUUUUCAAAGAACUAAGCAAAAGGCACUCAUAAAGCACUUCGAUCACAUAAACUCCAACUCCAUCUAAGGAAUCCAAUAUAUUCAUGGUGAUAGCCGACCUCUUAAUCUCAAGUUCACGCGCCCCACGCACAGUAAGCCAAAGCCUGAGACAUCAGGGCUUGAAGGCGGAGAAAGAUUUGUUCCCAUUGGCCCAAACGGGUAGUUGGGAGCCUGGGUUCCCUCAAAGCCGCCUCCGGGAGACCAGAAGGCAGCGGGGUUUUAUGGAGCUAGGGGCUUGGCGGGAGGAGCUUCCGGCAAACACAGGGGUCACUUCCCAUAAGCCCCUGGGAAAGCUGACUCCCGGGGCAAGGCUGCUGAGGGCCGGCCAGCGGGAUGAACCUCCCUGAGGGCGUUCUCUUUCUUCCGCAAAAGGAGCUCACAAAUCCUCAAGACACCGAGUCACCCCUCAAGUUAACAGGAAAAAACAGCAAAUUGCUUUACUAUCUGCAGUACCCCUCAGGCACCCGGCUUCAAUGGCACAACCUGAAGAUUCCGAGCUAAACUGAUUUUCCUCAAGUUAAGAAUGCAUCAGGGGCCGCCCGGGCCGAGUGGUUGAGUUCCAGCGCUCCAAUGCAGUGGCCAAGGGCGUCACGGGUUCGGAUCCUGGGCGCCGACAUGACGCUGAUCGUCAGGCCACGGUGAGGCGGCGUCCCACAUGCCUCAACUAGAAGGACCUGCAACUAAGAUAGACAACUAUGUACUGGGGGGAUUUGGGGAGAAAAAGGAAAAGAAAAAAAAGAAUGCAUCAAACCAAGUUUGAAUUUUUACCCCCCAGUUAUUUGCAACAUGACCAAUUCUCAUGGAUGAGGGAGGCAAAGGCCCUUCAGGGCAAGACGUGGUGAGAACUUAUCAAACCUACUGUCCUCAGAGAGCACAGUACAGGGAUUUUCCUCGUGAGGGCCCCCGGGUCCCUCACCGCGAAAGCAGCGAGGAAGGAGCGAGAGGUGGCUACACGGCGACGACGCAGAAAGACGCGGCGGGAAGGAAGAAAAAACAGAAAACCAAAGGGGGAAAAAAUGGAGCCUACUGAGGAGACGCAGGGGCGGCUUCAGCUCCAGCGGCGGCGACGGCGACAGCACUGGCGGGGGGCUGCGCAGCACCAUGGGGCCUAGAAGGGCCUAGAAGAGGCGCGGGGCGGCGCUCCCCGGGUCGGGAGAAGCGCAGGGCGCGGAGGAGCCGCGGCGUGUUGGCGUGCUCCUGCCCGGCGCGGGGACGGGAGAGUGGGCCUGGAUCCCCUCGAUAGGGGCCCGCAGGACGCGCGACAGGCCCUCGGCGGAGCGGGCCUCCCCACGACGCGCUCGCACGAUGUCGCAGGAACCCAGGAAGUCGACGCGACUGUCGGCAUCGCUGGUUUCGGAGUCGCUGAAGAAGUGCCGGAAGUCGCCGCCGCCGUGCUUCCUCAGGCCGUCGGCGGGCGGCCCCGCGGGCUCCCUGUUCCCGAGGACACCAGCUGGUCUUGGACGGCGCGGCACGUGCAGUGGCCGCCAGCUGGAUCUCCUCCAUCUCUCGAGUCGUGGCCUCCAGGAUGGCGGCAAGCUUCUUUCCCUGGUCACGGCGAAGCUGGGCCCGGAUCCUCUCACGCCGCCCCUUCUUUCGCGCCUUCUUUGUGCCCUUGAGAGGCGGGGCGGCUGGGCCUCGAGAUCCAUCUUGGCAAGAUCUUCAGUGACAGAAUCGAGGUUGCUGUCAUCAGGAAAAUUCUUUUGGAGCUUCUCUAGUUCCUGCUGGUGCCUGGGCUCCGUUGUGGCCUCAAGACUGGCCACGUCGAGGAGCAGCUGCUUCCUUCCUUUCCGGUUGCUCCUGGGUCGGGCCUACAGCUCUUUCUUCUUGAGGUGGUGGCGUCGUACCAUCCGCUGGUGCUCCUUCUGCCGAUCUUUCCUGAUAUUUAACGGCAGGCCAGAAUGGAAGUUUGGCGGCAGCUAAAGUACCGGCUGCUGUUCAGACUAACGGCGCAAACCGCGAUCAGGCCACGGGUCCUCAGCCUCCCCUGGCCGCUGCAGUCUGUAAAGCGUGACUUUUGCAAUGGGACAGGAUCCUUCAGGAGGUCCUGAGCCACUGGAAUACUCAGAGCCUGGGGACCUGUGUGACAGGAUGGAGGAGGGAUUUCUACGUUGAGCCGGAGGGUGGACGGUUUCUUUCUAGGGCCCUUAUGUCUCUGAGGGCGUGUGGCUACUGGGACCACCUUAGACUCUGCCCCAGGGGGGCUGUUAUUGGCCAUCUAGGGCUCCUCGGGUGUCACCUUUGGGGCUGAUGUCUGCUUCAUGUCAGGUCUACCCCCAGCACUUUGCCACAGACCUGAUCCGCGUUACUCCCAGAAAGGGCCCAACUUCAGCUCAGAGAAUUCCUACAGUCUGGCCCCUUCAGAUCACCCCCUUUCUCUUUGCCCCACUUGCUUGGCUCCCAGUCUUGGUUCCCCCUUCCCAUUUUGCCCCUUUUGGAUUUGCUGACCCUAGCAUGGGCCCACACAUCCACAGGACCCUGCUUCUGCUACAGGACUCUCAGCCGCCGGCCCUGCAGCCCUGGGCACAAGACACUGCGCUUCCUCUCCUAGUCAGAUGUCUAAGACUUCACUGCCCAUCCCUGUCCUGGAGGACUCAGACUCUCUUGGACAGAAAUCUACGUCCCCGUGAAAUGCUGCCGUGUCUUUCUGAAAGACAAGUUGUGGCAUGCAGGAUGCUGCCUCAGCAUGGCUUGACGAGUGGUGCCAUGUCUACACCCAGGAUCCGAACUGGUGAAACCUUGGGCUGCCAAAGUGGAGUGCACGAACUUAACCACUCGGCCACGGGGCCGGCCCCAAAGAAAUGAAAAUAAACCUUUGCUCAUGGGAGAGGGAGUGAAUGCCAGUCGAGACUCCACUACAUAAAGACAUUGCUGCUCACAGAUGCUCUGCUGAUCCCUCAAGAAUCUUGAAAUUGGUGAUAGGGUCUCCAUUUUACAGGUGAGGUAACUAAGGCUGAGGAUGGAGGAAGUCAGGCACACAUACAGUCUUACAAGGUAUUUUGGUUUAAGUGUAGAGUCUGGAGCCAGACAGCUUGGGUUUGAAUCCUGGUUCUGCAGUUUUCUAGCUGUGUGACCUUUGGUAAGUCAUUCAACCUCUGUUUUAUCCUCUGUAAAAUGGAAAUGAUAGUACCCGAUAGGGUUAUAAGGUUCACCAACUUAAUUAUAGAAAGCAUAUUGAACAUCAGUACCUUGGCACAGAAUGUGAGCUAAAUACAUUUCAUCUAUAUUAUUAAAAUCAUUAUCAAUGUCUGAACUAAGUUUGAAACACUAUAGGAAUUUGACUUAGCUAAGUAGGAAAGCAAAACUAAGUUCUCUUUCACUUUCUCCUGUUACCCGCGUACAUGUAACAAUAUUUUCGCCACUUCCUGGAAAUGGCUCUGUUCUAGCAUUUCAACAUAAUCCAGGAGGUAAGAUUUCAUAAUCGGAGAGUACAGAUAUAUGCCAAACCCAUUAAUCCUGUUUAGAGCCCUG